UCUUCCUGUUUCUGGAUGACUGACAAAUGUCACGGAUCAGGGAUACCUUUCUAAGCAAGAGCAAAAUAGUGCAAAGGCACUGUAGCUCACCUUGAUAGGUAGGUUCACUUUGAAAUGUCAAGAAAGACAA